AGCGAACGCUGGCGGCAGGCUUAACACAUGCAAGUCGAGCGGGCGUAGCAAUACGUCAGCGGCAGACGGGUGAGUAACACGUGGGAACGUACCUUUUGGUUCGGAACAACACAGGGAAACUUGUGCUAAAUACCGAAUAAGCCCUUACGGGGAAAGAUUUAUCGCCGAAAGAUCGGCCCGCGUCUGGUUAGCUUGUUGGUGAGGUAACGGCUCACCAAGGCGACGAUCAGUAGCUGAUCNGAGAGGAUGAUCAGCCACACUGGGACUGAGACACGGCCCAGACUCCUACGGGAGGCAGCAGUGGGAA
rnacentral:rRNA from 1 species